CUCACAUGUCACAGGAGCUCUCAUAAAGGAAUGGCUGGUGAGAGCUCCCUCUUGGCCAUGACAUCUCUUGCAGUCUCCUUGAACUCUCAUUUUGAAUAUUCACGCUGUUCACCUGCCCCUCACUCCAUUAUUGAUGUGGUACCAACAGGGAUGGGGGAGAAGUCAUAAAAGAUAUUUCCUGAGAGCAAAUGACUUGUCUGGAGUGAAGCCUUCCAUUCCAGUGCCACAGAGCUGAGUGAUGAGAUCUAAAGCACAGCUUUGCUGGCGCUGUGUCGCUCCUCUCCAGCACUGAGAGCAAGCAGUGGCCACAAAGCCUGGAGGUGACCUCAUCAAGCUCUAUGGCAGAGAUGGGAAGAUCACCUGAGCCCAGAUCCUUCUGUGCUUCACAAAGUUGUGCACCCAUUCUGCAUUCCUCCAAGUUCAGAAAGGUGGCAAUUUUUUCAUUCUUCAUGUCCUGUAAAAUAAUUGAAGGACAGCCAGGAUGGGAAUAUGGACACUGCUAUUGACUCCUAGAUGCUCUCAUGGAUCUAUAAAUGAAGACUAAUGUUGCAGUCAGCUUUGCCUGGUAGAUUCAUUUGGGUCAGAAAAAUAACCUUUCCUUUACCAGAUCUCCAGUGUUAAAGGGAAUUAUUAAAAACCUCCAAUAUAUUUGCAAAACGCUCUGAGAUGUAAGUCUGAGGUGUGCCCUGUUUUAUUGUUCUCAGAUUUGGGAGUUAGCCGGGGAUAAAACUCCUGAGUGUAAAACUCUGCAUGAG
rnacentral:lncRNA from 1 species